UCUAAGGAGAAAUCAUCCAUAAAUGUGCUAAGAAUGGGAUAAAAAUAUGUAUAAAUUACGGUUUAUCAUUUCCCUCAAGAUAGUUAGAGCCUUAGUGAGUUCUAUUGGGUAAAGCUAAUGAAUAAAGGCAUUCGAGGCAUAACGCCCUCGACCUAUUCUCAAACUUUAAAUAGGUAGGACGGUGCGGCUACUUCGUUGAGCAGUGACACAGAAUUGAGAGCUCCAAGUGGGCCAUUUUUGGGAAGCAGAAUUGGUGAUUCGGGAUAAACUGAAAGCCUGGUUACGGUGCCCAACUGCGCACUAAGCUAAAACCCACAAAGGGUGUUGGUCGAUCAAGACAGUAGGAUGGUGGUCAUGGAAGUCGAAAUUCGCUAAAGAGUGUGUAACAACUCACUUGCCAAAUCAACUAGCCCCAAAAAUAGAUGGUGCUUAAGCACGUGACCUAUAUCUGGUUAUUGGGAAAGGGCCAAGCCCCGAUAAGUAGGAGGGUGCAACAAUCGUCACAAAACCCGACGCAUGAGCUCAGGCGGAGUAGCCCUCGAUGUAGAUCUUGGUGGUAGUAGAAAAUAUUCAAAUGAGAACUGUGAAGGCCGAAGAGGGGAAAGGUUCCAUGUGAAUGAAACUUACACAUGGGUUAGUCAAACCUAAGAGAUAGGGGGAGCCCAUCUUAUAGCGUGUCCAACGCAAGCUUUGAAAGGGAAUUUUGUUAAAAUUCCUGAACUAGGAUGCAACGACUGACGGUAAUGUUAGGGAGUCCAGAGACAUCGGCGGGGCCCUUGGGAAGAGUUAUCUUUUCUGUUUAACGAUCUGUCCACCCUAGAAACGGCCCAGCUAGAAUGUAACACCCCAAACCCGAGACCAUCGCCGGUGUCGGACACGAGGGGUUAACAAGCCAAAUCCACAUAUUUCACCCACCAAUUU
rnacentral:ncRNA from 1 species